rnacentral:rRNA from 1 species
UACGUAGGGUGCGAGCGUUAAUCGGAAUUACUGGGCGUAAAGCGUGCGCAGACGGUUCGUUGUGUCUGCUGUGAAAUCCCCGGGCUCAACCUGGGAAUGGCAGUGGAAACUGGCGAGCUUGAGUGUGGCAGAGGGGGGUGGAAUUCCGCGUGUAGCAGUGAAAUGCGUAGAGAUGCGGAGGAACACCGAUGGCGAAGGCAACCCCCUGGGCUGACACUGACGCUCAGGCACGAAAGCGUGGGGAGCAAACAGG